rfam:Schistosoma mattheei strain Denwood, Zambia genome assembly, scaffold: SMTD_scaffold0002868
AUCUAGCUGAUGAGUUCCAAAUAGGAUGUAACAUGCUUCUUAGAU